UACGUAGGGGGCAAGCGUUGUCCGGAAUCAUUGGGCGUAAAGAGCGUGUAGGCGGCUCGAUAAGUCUGCUGUGAAAGUCCAGGGCUCAACCCUGGAAGGCCGGUGGAAACUGUCGGGCUAGAGUCCGGAAGAGGCGAGUGGAAUUCCCGGUGUAGCGGUGAAAUGCGCAGAUAUCGGGAGGAACACCAAUGGCGAAGGCGGCCACCUGGACAGUAACUGACGCUGAGAUGCGAAAGCGUGGGGAGCAAACAGG
rnacentral:rRNA from 1 species